rnacentral:rRNA from 1 species
AGUGAACGCUGGCGGUAGGCCUAACACAUGCAAGUCGAACGGCAGCACAGUAAGAGCUUGCUCUUACGGGUGGCGAGUGGCGGACGGGUGAGGAAUAUAUCGGAAUCUACUUUUUCGUGGGGGAUAACGUAGGGAAACUUACUCUCAUACCGCAUACGACCUACGGGUGAAAGCAGGGGAUCUUCGGACCUUGCGCGAUUGAAUGAGCCGAUGUCGGAUUAGCUAGUUGGCGGGGUAAAGGCCCACCAAGGCGACGAUCCGUAGCCGGUCUGAGAGGAUGGUCGGCGGCACUGGAGCUGAGACGCGGUCCAGACUCCAACGGGAGGCAGCAGUGGGGAAUAUUGGGCAAUGGGCGCAAGCCUGAUCCAGCCAUACCGCGUGGGUGAAGAAGGCCUUCGGGUUGUAAAGCCCUUUUGUUGGGAGAGAAAAGCAGCAGGUUGAUACCCCGCUGUUCUGACGGUACCCAAAGAAUAAGCACCGGCUAACUUCGUG